AACGAACGCUGGCGGCGUGGAUAAGACAUGCAAGUCGAGCGCUGAUUACGAGGUAGCAAUAUUUCGUAGUCGGAGCGGCGCAAGGGUGCGUAACACGUGGGUAAUCUGCCAUGAAGUUCGGGAUAACUUGCUGAAAGGCGAGCUAAUACCGGAUGUGAAAAUUGGGGGGCAUCUCCUGAUUUUUAAAGUUGGGGACCGUAAGGCCUGACGCUUCAUGAUGAGCCCGCGGCCUAUCAGCUAGUUGGUAAGGUAACGGCUUACCAAGGCUAAGACGGGUAGCUGGUCUGAGAGGACGACCAGCCACACUGGAACUGAGACACGGUCCAGACACCUACGGGUGGCAGCAGUCGAGAAUUUUUCACAAUGGGCGCAAGCCUGAUGGAGCGACGCCGCGUGGGGGAUGAAUGGCUUCGGCCCGUAAACCCCUGUCAUUUGCGAUCAAACCUCAUUAUUUAAAAGAUGAUGAGCUGAUAGUAGCGAAAGAGGAAGGGACGGCUAACUCUGUGC
rnacentral:rRNA from 1 species